GGUCCCUUAGCUCAGUUGGUUAGAGCGUGGUGCUAAUAAUCUCUCAGUGUUCUGGAAGAUGGUUGGUGACGCCAAGGUCGCAGGUUCGACCCCUGCAGGGACCA